rnacentral:rRNA from 1 species
AUGGCCUCCGAGGCGGCGAAGGUGCCGGUGCCGCAGUCGGUGAACUUCAAGAGGAAGAGGGGAGAGCUCUGGGCCGCCGCGAAGAAGCAGAAGGUCGCCGACGAGAAGAAGAAGGACGCGGAGAACACCAAGGUCAUCUACGCCCAUGCCAAGCAGUACGCCGAGCUGGUGCAACUUAAGCGUGAGGCCCGGAUGAAGGGUGGGUUCUAUGUCAGUCCCGAGGCAAAGCUGUUGUUUGUCGUCCGUAUCCGUGGUAUCAAUGCUAUGCACCCAAAGACCAAGAAGAUCUUGCAGCUUUUGCAUUUGAGGCAGAGUAUCUUGCACACUUUCUGUCUUCUGUGUUACUGUUCAUUUCUAAAUCUGGUCUCAGUCUCAAGCAUGCUUUAUAGUCUCAUAUAUAUUGUAUUUAUACAUCUCUUGUUUCUGCAACCUACAAGUGCGUAUGGGCACUGA